GCAGAUAAGCUCUCUCUUUUCUUUUCUUCUUCAUUCUUCAUUCUUCUUUCUUCUUCUUCUUCUGUCCAUCGCCUCCGGCGAUUUUGUGAGAUGAUUCUGAAGUCGAAUCAAAGAGAAACUUAGGGUAAAAACUAGGAAUUGAUUACUGGUGGUGUUGCUGAUCUUAUUUGAACUCGGCAGAAGAAGGAGAUGUUGUUGAAUCUAAUUAGGGUUCUGUUCUUGAGUUGGAAGAGAGAUUAAGAGGAGUUUUGAGUUUCUGUUGGAUGAAGAUCGAGUGGGUUGGUGUUUAGUUGAAGUUUUGAAGCUGUUCUGAUUUAGAAUAGAAAACAGUUACUCCUUAUUAACAACGAUCGAUUUAAAGGAUGAACCAGUGGAUCAUGGAUCUCAAGGUAGGCGGGACUUGUCAUCAAAAAAGUUUCAGAGACAGUUCAAGAUGUGCACGUGGCGAUGGAAGCGUCGAGGAAUUGGGUCUGAUAGUUGGUUAGCUUUCCUCUAUGUUUAUUUUGUUGUAUAUGCCAUUUUCAAACCAAAUUAUUAUUAUUAU